UGAAGUCGUGUGAUUACAAAUGUAAACUUUUUAUGUAGUAGACUACUGUAUUUUUGAACUGAUAGAAAAGGGCAUAGUUUUCUAGUGAUAUAUCUUGAUUUUAAAUUAAUUUCAGUUAUACAUAUACCGUUCAACCAGUUGUACCAGUGUUUCCAUGCCUGAGGACACUGUGAAAGGAAUUUUACAACUCAUACAGUAAUCACGCUCAAUUUUUGUCCUGGCAACCACAGUAUAAACAUGUAAACAUGACAUGUACAAGGUCAAGUAUUAUGUCUAAAAAAGAGACAAUUUAAGACAUUAUUAAAUAAAUAAUACAGGAACAUAGGGAAAAUAUUAUGUGGGAUUUCUCUUUGUCACACAAAACAUUUUAGAGAAAAUCAGGAAUGAUUUUUUUCAAAGAGAAAUCAAAUUCAAAGACGGAAGCACAUUAUGCAAUAAAGGAGACAUUGGUAGAAUCAAUGCAUAAUUUAUCAUUGACAAUGAAACAUUUGCCAUUAGAAAUAAAUGUACAGUGUUUUAUCAAUCUCAUUAUGCUUAGUAAUGGAAGUGCAGUUUUCCUAUCGGGACAUAAACCACUUUCCCUUUUAAGUGACAUGACACAUACUAUAAAAGGAGGAUGAUAACCAUGAACAGCUCAUAAUCACAUCUUGAGUUCCUAAAAGGAUCCAGAGUCUAAUUCCAGUUUAACAGAACAUGUAGAUGUGACCAGCUCUGUUCAGUUAAGGAUACUUCUCUCCUCUUCUCCACUUACUGCUGACUGCCGAGACUUUGUGUGACCAUGACACAAUUCAACAUCACCGUCUUCGAUGAAUUAAACAAGUCACAUAUAGUGAUCAGUCCUGAGAAAGUACAGCAUGCAGAAGCAGUGUUUAUCUGGAUUGUAUGCCUCUUUGAGAUUCCAGUCGUCCUCUUAACCCUGUUUGCAUUGUGUUUUCUCAUCAAGUCUCAUUGUGCAUCUUCGGUUUAUGUGAUACAUUUGAUUCUUUCAGAUCUGUUACAGAUUUGUUUUAUAUUGGUAUUAACAACCGAGUUAGCGAAUGCCACAUUAUGGAGUGCAUAUAAGUAUUGUUUGAUUGUAGGCUUGUUUUUCAUGGCAUGUAUUGCUGUUGAAAGAUACAUUUUAGUUUCUCAUCCUCACUGGUACAGAUCAUACCAUUCAGUAAAAAUGUCCUGUUCUAUUUCUUUCAUCAUCUGGUUAGUGCCUUUGACCUUUACAAACAUAGAACAGCAUGAAAUUUUUACCAUGUUUUCCCAAUGUCUAGCAUGUUUUAUCCCUUAUUCAGUAAUCCUCUUAUGUUUUGUUGGUACUUGGAGGGGUCUUUCUCAUGCAAUAUCACUUACUUCUCAUAAGCAGAAAUUAAUUUUGGGUAGUCUGUCUCUUGUGCUGUUGAACUACACAUUUAUUAUC